rnacentral:rRNA from 1 species
UGGGGAAUAUUGCACAAUGGGCGCAAGCCUGAUGCAGCCAUGCCGCGUGUGUGAAGAAGGCCUUCGGGUUGUAAAGCACUUUCAGCGGGGAGGAAGGCGUUAAGGUUAAUAACCUUGGCGAUUGACGUUACCCGCAGAAGAAGCACCGGCUAACUCCGUGCCAGCAGCCGCGGUAAUACGGAGGGUGCAAGCGUUAAUCGGAAUUACUGGGCGUAAAGCGCACGCAGGCGGUCUGUCAAGUCGGAUGUGAAAUCCCCGGGCUCAACCUGGGAACUGCAUUCGAAACUGGCAGGCUGGAGUCUUGUAGAGGGGGGUAGAAUUCCAGGUGUAGCGGUGAAAUGCGUAGAGAUCUGGAGGAAUACCGGUGGCGAAGGCGGCCCCCUGGACAAAGACUGACGCUCAGGUGCGAAAGCGCGGGGAGCAAACAGG